rnacentral:rRNA from 1 species
ACGCUGGCGGCACGCCUAACACAUGCAAGUCGAACGAAGUAGCAAUACUUAGUGGCAGACGGGUGAGUAACAUGUAGGUAUCUGCCCUUUGGCCUGGAAUAACACGAGGAAACUUGUGCUAAUACCGGAUAAGUCUUUACGGAGAAAGCUUUAUGCACCAUUGGAUGAGCCUGCACUUGAUUAGUUUGUUGGUGGGGUAAUGGCCUACCAAGACUUUGAUCAAUAGCUGAUUUGAGAGGAUGAUCAGCCACAUUGGGACUGAGACACGGCCCAAACUCCUACGGGAGGCAGCAGUGGGGAAUCUUGCACAAUGGAGGAAACUCUGAUGCAGCGAUGCCGCGUGAGUGAAGAAGGCCCUUGGGUUGUAAAGCUCUUUCGUCGGGGAAGAAAAUGACUGUACCCGAAUAAGAAGGUCCGGCUAACUUCGUGCCAGCAGCCGCGGUAAUACGAAGGGACCUAGCGUAGUUCGGAAUUACUGGGCUUAAAGAGUUCGUAGGUGGUUGAAAAAGUUGGUGGUGAAAUCCCAGAGCUUAACUCUGGAACUGCCAUCAAAACUUUUCAGCUAGAGUUUGAUAGAGGAAAGCAGAAUUUCUAGUGUAGAGGUGAAAUUCGUAGAUAUUAGAAAGAAUACCAAUUGCGAAGGCAGCUUUCUGGAUCAUUACUGACACUGAGGAACGAAAGCAUGGGUAGCGAAGAGGAUUAGAUACCCUCGUAGUCCAUGCCGUAAACGAUGUGUGUUAGACGUUGGAAAUUUAUUUUCAGUGUCGCAGCGAAAGCGAUAAACACACCGCCUGGGGAGUACGACCGCAAGGUUAAAACUCAAAUGAAUUGACGGGGACCCGCACAAGUAGUGGAGCAUGUGGUUUAAUUCGAAGAUACGCGCAGAACCUUACCAACACUUGACAUGUUCGUCGCGACUCUAAGAGAUUAGAGUUUUCGGUUCGGCCGGACGAAACACAGGUGCUGCAUGGCUGUCGUCAGCUCGUGUCGUGAGAUGUUGGGUUAAGUCCCGCAACGAGCGCAACCCUCACUUUUAGUUGCCAUCAUUAAGUUGGGCACUCUGAAAGAACUGCCAGUGAUAAGCUGGAGGAAGGUGGGGAUGACGUCAAGUCCUCAUGGCCCUUACGUGUUGGGCUACACACGUGCUACAAUGGUAUCUACAACAGGAAGCAAGGCGGCGACGUCAAGCAAAUCCUUAAAAGAUACCUCAGUUCGGAUUGCACUCUGCAACUCGAGUGCAUGAAGCUGGAAUUACUAGUAAUCGUGGAUCAGCGUGCCACGGUGAAUGCGUUCCCGGGUCUUGUACACACCGCCCGUCA